CCUUAGAUUGGCGGCUCUAACGACAUCGUGGCGGUCUAAGGUAGUAGCGUUACCAGAAGGGUAAGAGGCUGAAAUAGCGCAAUACAGGUGGCGAAGAUAGUGCCUGUGCCUCGCAAGACUGUCGGGU
rnacentral:ncRNA from 1 species